UGCAAAUGUAAAAAAAAAUAAUAAAGAAAAAUGAAUUGAUAUAUCAGCCCAUUAGGAUGGAUUUGGCAUAGCCUGGCUCAGGCCCUGAAUUAGAUCCGGCUCGACUCUAAUCACAUCCUCAAUCUUGUAAAUGGGGGAUAUAUAGACCACUCUAUUUGUUACAUAUAUAGCACCAUGAGCCCAUAAAAUAAUUGUCUAAGUAAAUAAAAAACAAAAUUAAUAUUUUACAUCCAUAGCAGGCACGACCUAAGUUAAAAAAAAGGGAAACCCAACCUCAGAGGGUCAAAAGAAAACUCUCUCAGUUUACUAUAAUCAAAAUAAUCCCUACGGUACAGCUCUUUCUUCUGUUGUUUGAGCAAACUUGAGUGAAAUUCUGGUAAUAAAUCACAUAUUUAAGUGGAUAAGACUGUUGCCUUCUCUGUUUCCUCUUCAAUCUGCAAGCUCUCAUAGUAUUGGACAAGCACCUUCCAACCACCAGGACACAUAAAACCAUCUGGAGGAUUUUCACCAGUUCUUGCAUAAGUCCUCAUCUUAGUUCCAGAGAUGAAGAGGAAAUCCUGAGAACGAGAUGGAUCAAAAAAUGCCAUCUUCUUUGCCACAGUGUCAUAUGCUGCCACCCUAAAUGGCAAAAUAUUUAGCUUCUCCAGCCCAGGAGCCAUGCUUAACACCUUCUUUCCAUGAUCAGGGUCAUAUAAAUCUCUCUUCUCUGUCGGGUGACCCAUACCAGCAGGAUCACGACCUACAAUGUAAAAAUUAGCACCUGCAUUUAUCCGUGCCUUGGCAUGCCAUUGUACUUCAGUUGGACCAGCAUAGUGCAUAGGUGAUGGGAAUAUAGAAACAAUGGUAGUCUUAGGGUCAAGAACACCAUCUUCUAGGACCUUGCUAUGUUGUUCCAUCCGAACAUCCAAAGGCACAUCAUCAGCCUUUGUGAAACCUCCCAAAGGAUGAAGCAAUAGAAUUGGAUUCUUGUAACCCAUUUCUAAAAGUCUCCUGCGUGUGUCAUUCAUUAACAAGGCAUGCCCAUUAUGUACAGGAUUCCUCAAUUGAAAUGCAAAAACCGCAUCAGCUUGACGGUUAUCAAAUUCCUUCCGAAGUUGUUGGGGAGAGAGCCUAUAAUGAUCAAGCCCAUCAUUAUAUUUGAUAGGUUUUAGUACUUCUAAAUCUCCACCUAUGAGCCAAUUUCCAGCAGAGGUAAUGCACUCCUCAACAUAUGGCAAUCCCGGUGCAGUUGUACCCCAAGUUCUCGCUAUUCUUUCCUCUUUUUUAUGCUUGUAUAUCUCAAUACUUCGAAGAAUGCCAAUUAAAUCUCCAUCAGGAGCAACCAACCCAACAUUCUUCGACGACCCGAUGCUCUCCUUAGUCUCGUCAUCAAUCGCCAAAACAAUGGGGAGCGACAUGUUAACCACAGUCCCAUCCGCCAUUCUCAAAGAAUUAAAAUGCAGACUCUGCAAGUACUCGUUUUCUCUCAUGAACCCUCUCAGCGGACUCGCCCAUCCCUCGCUAAUCACGUGCACCCACUCCACAUCGAUCUUGGUCAGCCUUACCUUAGACAUUGACUCUGCCUCUAAAGCUUUCGCUCCCCGCUCGUUCUCUGGCACCACCAGAUCCACCAGUGCACCACCGUCCGGCUCGAUCAGCGAGCUCUUGAUCGAAGGAAUGGAAGACUCAACUGGGUUAGAAGAAUCUAGCAUUUUGGGUUUAUUAUAAACGAAAUGAAUCAAUGGGUUGGAGUGGUAAAUGGGUUUUGGUCGAAUUCUGGUGCUGUAACUUGUGAAUUUGGUCUUGCUGUUUGUAUGGAGAUUGAGGGUAUUGUACGGAGUGAUGUGCAGUCUGAUUGUUAGAGGCAUGAUCGUGAGAGUUUCUGGGAGGUGCUACAAUUUUGGGAGCAGGUUCCGCUUCUGCAAGCAAUGAGAAGAGAUCCGUUUAAUUUGGUAAGGUCUAAUUUGGCGUCUAAAUUUGGGGUAGUCAUUUUGGUAGGCGUUGAAGAAGAGAAGAGACAUCCAUCCACACACCACACGUUUGUUUUACCCUUUGAAGGUUGUGGACGGAAGAUGGCUACUGGUCUGCAUUUUUGUUGAGGACCAAACUCUUGGGAAGAAAGUGCCAAAUUAGACGGAAAGCAACUUGCCAAUCUCUUCGCUAAUUUUUGGCCAACUACCACUGGACUGGAGAGGCUUUAUGCUCCCACUUCGCUUUUGGUUGUGCUGGUACCAGGCGCAUGUGUGAAAUGCCGAUGACUAUCGUUGAACCUUGGGACCAUGCACCUUCCUGGAUUUCAUUAUAACCACCAAAAAAAUAAUAAACAAAAAGUGCGAUAAUUAUGGUCUCGACUAUAAGGCUGAGUUUAAUAAUUAUUAAAUUAAAUAU
rnacentral:misc_RNA from 1 species